rnacentral:rRNA from 1 species
UUGUCGGGUAAGUUCCGACCUGCACGAAUGGUGUAACCAUGGCCACGCUGUCUCCACCCGAGACUCAGUGAAAUUGAAAUCGCAGUGAAGAUGCUGUGUACCCGCACCUAGACGGAAAGACCCCGUGAACCUUUACUACAGCUUGGCACUGAACAUUGAACCUACAUGUGUAGGAUAGGUGGGAGGCUUUGAAGCACAGUCGCUAGAUUGUGUGGAGCCGUCCUUGAAAUACCACCCUUGUAUGUUUGAUGUUCUAACAUAGGUCCCUUAUCGGGAUUGUGGACAGUGUCUGGUGGGUAGUUUGACUGGGGCGGUCUCCUCCCAAAUAGUAACGGAGGAGCACGAAGGUUAGCUAAUCACGGUCGGACAUCGUGAGGUUAGUGCAAUGGCAUAAGCUAGCUUAACUGCGAGACAGACACGUCGAGCAGGUACGAAAGUAGGUCAUAGUGAUCCGGUGGUUCUGUAUGGAAGGGCCAUCGCUCAACGGAUAAAAGGUACUCCGGGGAUAACAGGCUGAUCUCCCCCAAGAGCUCACAUCG